AGGAUACAUAAAUCAAAAAUUCUAAUGUAAAAUAAAACCAAAUGAGGAUGACUAACUCCAGGCAGGUUACUUAUUCUGGCAGGCAGGAAAUCAAAAUGGAUAAAUGGAAGCCCUUUGCUGCCCAGCUGCUCUCUCGGGCUGGGGGGUUGACAUGAAGAAUACCCAGCGUCUGGACCAUGAGGUAAAAGUCACCAUGGAGCACCUUCAAGGAAGGCGGGAAGGGCACAGAGUAAGUCUUCUCCUAAAAGCAGGUUUGGAAGUCUCCAGUAGGAUAUUUCCUGAGGGGGUCCAGGACAGAGGGACCGCCGCCUUCCAGAAGAAUGAGCUACAAUUUGAUUACCAAAUUCAAGUCAAUCUUCACUAGGCCUGCUAGAAAUACGGUGCAAACGUUUAACAGCCUGUUCUUCCCUGGUUACACAGAAUGGAUUAAAGGCAUGAUGUUAUGAA